AUGAUAGGACGUGAGACCUUAGGUAUACUUGGAGCUUGCACAGGGAAGAGCAGGUCGUUGUGGGCAGAUGGAUCGUAAUGAUGUUGAACUCAUAACUCGUAAAACUAUUUGGAUUUACUUUACUAUGCUUCCGCUACUUAAAACAGUGUUUGGUUUUUGAAACAUCAAUCAUGUCAUGGUGACUUAUAUUAACUACUUCUAUUAUUAAUUGCUAUGGUUUGAUAUGAUUGAUGGCUUGAUCCUGGUCAGUCACGCUCC
rnacentral:lncRNA from 1 species